rnacentral:rRNA from 1 species
GGUUAAGCGACUAAGCGUACACGGUGGAUGCCCUGGCAGUCAGAGGCGAUGAAGGACGUGCUAAUCUGCGAUAAGCGUCGGUAAGGUGAUAUGAACCGUUAUAACCGGCGAUUUCCGAAUGGGGAAACCCAGUGUGUUUCGACACACUAUCAUUAACUGAAUCCAUAGGUUAAUGAGGCGAACCGGGGGAACUGAAACAUCUAAGUACCCCGAGGAAAAGAAAUCAACCGAGAUUCCCCCAGUAGCGGCGAGCGAACGGGGAGGAGCCCAGAGCCUGAAUCAGUGUGUGUGUUAGUGGAAGCGUCUGGAAAGGCGCGCGAUACAGGGUGACAGCCCCGUACACAAAAAUGCACAUGCUGUGAGCUCGAUGAGUAGGGCGGGACACGUGGUAUCCUGUCUGAAUAUGGGGGGACCAUCCUCCAAGGCUAAAUACUCCUGACUGACCGAUAGUGAACCAGUACCGUGAGGGAAAGGCGAAAAGAACCCCGGCGAGGGGAGUGAAAAAGAACCUGAAACCGUGUACGUACAAGCAGUGGGAGCACGCUUAGGCGUGUGACUGCGUACCUUUUGUAUAAUGGGUCAGCGACUUAUAUUCUGUAGCAAGGUUAACCGAAUAGGGGAGC